rnacentral:tRNA from 1 species
CACUUUAUAGUUUAAAAUAAAACACAAGUCUCAUGAACUUGAAUUGUGACUACACCCACUAAACUAG